UACGGGGGGAGCAAGCGUUGUUCGGAUUUACUGGGCGUAAAGGGCGCGUAGGCGGCCAGCACAAGUCAGUUGUGAAAUCUCCGAGCUUAACUCGGAAAGGUCAACUGAUACUGUGCGGCUAGAGUGCGGAAGGGGCAACUGGAAUUCUUGGUGUAGCGGUGAAAUGCGUAGAUAUCAAGAGGAACACCUGCGGCGAAGGCGGGUUGCUGGGCUGACACUGACGCUGAAGCGCGAAAGCCAGGGGAGCGAACGGG
rnacentral:rRNA from 1 species